rnacentral:rRNA from 1 species
CGAAUGAGGAGAUUCAUCGUCAGCUUAUUCAGUAUUAAUGCAGGCUAUGAUGUGAUAAUAGAAUCCUUGUGGUCACUAGAUUAUACUUGCUUGUAUUAUUUUUGCUGGGUAUGUCGGCGUGCACUUCUCCUCUAGUAGAACGUCGCAACCCGUUGGAUGUUUAUCUAUGGCUUGAAUGGUAGCCUUUGAUAUUUUUUAUAUURAAGACCUUCGAUGUCCUGAUAAACUGUUUGACGGUAUACAUAUGGUAUUGAGCCGCAAUUAUUUGCGUUAGACUUGCCGCAAGUAUGACUUUAUUCUAGUAGUGCGGAUCUAAUGCCGUCGCUGGACAAAGUCUGCUGUUAGCUGUGUAAUGU